rnacentral:rRNA from 1 species
UACGAAGGGUGCGAGCGUUGUUCGGAAUUACUGGGCGUAAAGGGUUCGUAGGCGGGAGAGCAAGUUAGAUGUGAAAACCUCGGGCUUAACCUGAGACGUGCAUCUAAAACUACUUUUCUUGAGUACUUGAGAGGGUCGUGGAAUUGCUGGUGUAGGAGUGACAUCCGUAGAGAUCAGCAGGAACACCGGAGGCGAAAGCGACGACCUGGCAAGACACUGACGCUGAGGAACGAAAGCGUGGGGAGCAAACAGG